AUCACUGAGAUCUUGUUUAAAUGCAGAUUCUGAUUUAGAACAUCUGGAGCAGGUCCUGAGAUUCUGCAUUUCUAACAAGUUCCCAAAUGAUGCUAA
rnacentral:pre_miRNA from 1 species